UUCAAAUAAUAGUGUUUGGAUUGCUGGAUAUAAAAUGUAACAUCUAACAUUUAGAUGGGAGCUAAGUCCAAGUCCCAGCAAGCGAGAUGAAUCUGUAUGCUGGAUCUAUAACAUAAAAAAUAAAAUGACAAGAGCUGGACUCCAAUCAGCUGGAGCAUGGACACUACCACUACCACUACAAGUACUAACUAAUCUUAGGCUGACACGAGCACGAGUUGUUAGCUGUAGCAUCUACCAUAAGCAGAGCUGUUUUUCUCGAGCGCAAAUCAUCAGCUUGAUCCCGGUCUCGAACCUCGCACGCGCUCGUACCGCCCACCUCAGUCUCCAGCCUCCUAUUCAGCUUCAGCUUCUUAAAUCGCAACACCUACGUACGACUUGCUCGAGACUCUUCAUCAACCUCAACCACUUCCAAUUAAUGCCGAUGGAGUACCAAUAAAUAUAAUAAUUAAUACCAAGCCUUUACUGGUUAUCCUUACAUUAAAUAUCAAUUAUUAUUUAUCCUGCAAACCAGUAAAUAGUUACAGUUAUAUCACCCAACACUUGAAUUUAAAAUCAAUGUCCUCUUACGCAAGAGCAAAACUGUUUUGCGAACGCUCUUCGUUCCAGGCUUUAUUGCUCUCAAUCUUAGACAAUAGACACGUAUAACAUGCCGGUCUGUUUAAUCAUAAAGAGAUUCACCCUAUACUCAUCUCGGCAAUGUCUUAGUGAUGUUGUGUGUUGUAUUAUAUUAUAUCAAGACCAAGUCUAUUAUUAUCGGUGGCGUUGUGUUGACGAUCAAGAAACUAGUCGACAUAACAAACACAUGUGAGCAUGUGUGGAUAUGGAUCACAACAGUGUGGGUGGCAAGUUAAUCUCCGUACCGGAGUUGUAAUGAUAAUAAUUAUUAUCAUCUUCUUCGGAAUAAUCGGUGCAAUUUUAUGGUCUACUGAGAAACGCGUGGAUCCGUUCAUCAUCUAAUAUAUCACUGAUAUAUUGAGAUUGCAGAUAUAAUAGUUUUGGCUGAGGUUCGUGGGUGAGUGAACAUCUUCCGUUGUGUCUUCAGGUGUAGCGAGCACAUUCCUGAAGGCUAUCUCUUGGCAUUCUCAAUCACCCGAUUAUUAAAUAAAAGGCUUCUUCUAACAAGAUACUGAAGAAUCAACGCUCUCACAGGUCAAGGAUACCCUUUAGCUGCAAGGAUAAUAAUAUAAUACACAUAAGCCGAAAAUAUGCAAGGUACUUCCUGAAAAGAAGCUACACAAGUGAAAAGUAUCAGGACAAUGAGCUCGACUAAAGGACAAACGCCCUAAUGAGCUCUAUUUAUACUUAUACUUAUUUCUGAAUGAGUUGAGAAACGAGUCAACAACCCAAGACUCUUACCGUAUAGUAGUUAAGGACCGAGUAUUGUUCCACGAAGGCUCGACCACUUAUACAUUUUCAGGAUUAACUGGCUAUUCUAUAAAGGGUACAUUUCUUCUUAUUAUAUUUACUCCAAGAGACUCGACAUAAUAACCAAUAAUGUAACGAAUUUUAAAAACUUUUACCAGUUUAUUUUUUCAAGCUCCGCUGAAACAUGAAAAUUUUUUUCAACCAUCCUGAGCCUCCUGAUAUUAUUAGCCAUCUCUGGCCUAAUUAUGGUCCCUCUGGAAUUCGCCGGUUGAAAAAAGCACAGCCGACUUGUGAGUCCAUGAUCUCGAUAGUAAAUUUACAUGUACAUUUGUGGGCGAUGCCGACCAGAGACCGGAGUAUGUUCAUGUACGUAGAUACAGCCACUCCCAUAUCACAUCUCGCGUAAAACAACAUAACACAAGACAGAUAUAAGACUCUGGAGAAAAUGAGGGAGAGAGACCACGAAUCAUUAUCGUUUAUGCAAGCCAAGCUACGAUCGCUCAACUGGAACACCGUGAAAUAAAACGUGCAAGUAAACUCGGCGGCCUCGAUGACGUAAACACUUGGAUUUAUAUAUUUUUAUCCGCUAUCAAUCGUGUCUCUGGUCACCUAAAUCACCACUAAGACAUUUUCAGGAUAAAAAAUCUUAAACAAGAAAUAAUAUGCAUUAAUAUUAGAUUUUUUAGGCACAAAGCAGAGGCUGGGGACUUUCACCACGUACAUGGUCAGACCUUUCUCCGGGCGUUUUCUUCCCGAGCGCUAUUCACCGCAAGAUAACCCAUUGAAUUUAAUACGCAACUAAAACCAUUAUUGUAUAGACCAUUAUAUAUUCUCUCUGGAGAUCUUUUACCCCCCGGGUUAAAUUUACAACGAGCACAUUGCAGAGACCAGAAACCGUAGACCGGUCAGCUUCACCUUAGCUGUGGUACUUGUGCUGGAAUAAAGUGUUUACAGUGAACUUUUCAAGCUCACGCUACACUAGAGCGUAGUCAUGCUUGAGCACGCGAGUGCCCUCCAGCAUCAACGAGCAUCAUUUUAUAUUUUAUAUAUUUUAUAUGCUUAUUAUUUAUCCACAUACAUGUUGCAAGCUGGAGAGGCCAUCCUCUGGCUAUCUUCUUAGCUUGCUCAUAUUGGAAUAGAAGACUAGAGCCAGGAUAUUUUCAAGGCAGCUCCUUAAAGCAUCAUACAGACCAGUUCAACGUCAUCUUUGUAAACCAGAUAAAAAAGUAUAUUAUUCAAGAUUAGAUUAAAGCACGCAGGUGUGAGCCUGAGCAAUUGAUAGUAAGCCAUGAUUCAAAGUAUAAAUACCAAAGAUAAAUAAUAUAUAAGGAAAGUCCGAAAAAGGAAUAAAUAAAAGUUGUAACGAGAAGAAAAAGCUUGUCAGAGCAUUCUCUUCCCUGAGGAUCUAUACAGCUCGUGCAUGACCGAUUGUGGCUCGUGUGCGUAUCCAAGCGACAGAUAAACCGGCUUCAAGAAGUUAUCCAUCGACUUGCUGAAUAAUAAUCGCGUUUCACAUAUGUUUGACGCGUCAAAAAUAUUUAAAGCUGACAAUCCAACCAAGCGAUGAAGAAAUUAAAGCUGAUGGUCAUCGAACUGGUUUGCAUAAUCAAAUGACUUGGCACUUUCGUCGACCCCCUGGCACCAACUCAGCCUUAAAGUACCCAACCAGCGGGGGGCAAGUCGUGCCACCAGAAUAACCAUAACCAUGGAGAAUUCUUCAGGAUGAAUAAUUCAUAAAUCAUACGACAACUCUAUAACCCAUGAUUGGUGGGGUGAAUAAAAUAAUAUAAAUACUCGAAUAAUUGGUGGUUCUGCUGGUUUAUAAAUAAGUCACUUAAGCAUUAAAUACGUGUCAAGAUCGCGGUAAGAGCCUGCUCGAGCAGAGCGUAAACUCAUACCACUGUAAUAAUAUAUAUAAGAAAUUAUAUUAUGAGUGCUCGAAUGAGAAUCCGCCAGCAAAGUAAAGUAAAGUAAAGAGACAAAACCGGUUCAAUUAUAAUACAGAGGGUAGUCAUUGGAGAAUUGCGUUUAGUUCUUCAGCUCAAGCGGGAAGAAAUAUAAUUCAGCGGAUUAAAAAGAUAAAUUGCAAUAAUUUAUCUCCAAUUCUGAGUGCUCGCAAAUAAAAAUUUGAUAAACUGAUCCAUUGGUACAAUAUCCAGUGUUUUCUGUUUCAUUCCUCGAGAUACUUUCACUGUUAUGCAAUCUUGGAUAAAUAUCUCAAGUUUUAUCAUUAAAUUAAUGCAGUGAGUAAUACACCAAGAAAGCUAAUAAAAAUAAUUCGGUUAAAUAAAACCGAGCAAUGCACCAGACAAAUGCAAUACAACCAAUACUAUACGGCGCUGGAUAUAAUAUGAAGUAGAGGAUUCGGGUGAAUCACCGCGGGCUUGAGUGUCCGCGUGGGCGCGGCCAGCUAACAGGACACACAAGAGACCAUUGUAUUGCUGAGUACAGGGCAAAAAGGAGAGCAAAACCCCGGACUGCUAUUAUGUAUAUAAUACAUACAUACAUUCAUACUUAGUAUGAGUAUGAGCCAGUCGGAUAAGAGAAAGAGAGCAUAGCAGUUAAUACUUGAUAGCAGCGAGUAAAGGCGCGGCCAUGACCGAACUCGAUCGCGAGCCUGUACGGUAAAGAAUAAUAUCACAGCCAAAGUAUUUUCUAGAGCUCUACAACCAGUUGAGCCCAUUGUAUGUGAGGUACAACCCCAUUGUUUAUGCCAACCUCUGGUCACAGACAUAAAAUUUAUGCAGGACUCCUUUUGGAGUGUAGUGUCUUGGUCUCUCCUCUCCUACCUUAUUUUAUUUUUUCAGCUUUAGCUUCAGCUUCAGCCAAAGUCUUAACGCGACCACAAUCCAUUAGCGUGUAGUGUGUAUACCUCUCUCUUCUUGACUUGGAGAGAUCUACUCUCGGUUGAAUCGACAUAAAGAUAUGGAUUUAUGCCGCCUCCAAUGUAUACAAAAAGCUCACUCUACUCUAAGCUAUCUAAAGACUAAGAGUGACUCUUUAACGUCUGACAUAAGGCCAUAUUUUUCUUAAUACCAUGUUGUUGUCUCAGAUACUCUUAUACUCUUUUUUGACUACUCUUCAUCUCAUACAUAACGUUUUUUAGGCUUCCUCUCUACUCCACUCCACUCCACUCCACUCCACUCCACUCCACUCACCAGACCUCGUUUAUCUGACAAAAAAUAUAUUAAAUUUUAAUAUCUCUGGAUUCGUCGAAAACCCACGAUAGCUACACACUAAAUCUAACAAUUUUAUAUUUAUUAUAUUUUUGAUUAUGUUACCAGUAGUCGGAUAGUCCAGGUAACUGGUUACUAUUCGGAGCUCGAGUAUGCUGAGUAAUAUGAGAGAGUAGAGCCAGCUUCUCGAAUAGCUCCACCGGCUUGUAAGUUGUAGGUGAGCUUAGUCUUAUAUCAUGUGUACAUAUAAUAUAAGAAGCAGCCAGAUGUGCCCCGUGCUUGUGGAGUUUAUUGUAUAUGGAUAUGCGGGGGCAGUUGAAUCAGACAGUCACGUUCAAGAUUCUCCGAUAACCAAGUAGAGUUUGCUGCUCUUGUAAUCCUUUUUUUAUUGAGGUCCGAGCUUCACGCAUAUUCUAGGUCUGGAUCAUUGCCAUUACCAUCAACUUGAACUGUAAUUCAGAACUACGUCAUUUCUAAAUAGCUAGUACAGUUUGAGGCUGCUAAGCUUCAAAUUCCAAUCUUUCAUUGCUAUCCUUAUUCUUUUAACACGUACAUCAGGUUUUUUUAUGUUUUAUGCUCUGAGAAUCUGGAAGUAAA